rnacentral:rRNA from 1 species
UACAGAGGUGGCAAGCGUUGUUCGGAAUUACUGGGCGUAAAGAGCUCGUAGGUGGUUUGUCGCGUUGUUCGUGAAAUCUCACGGCUUAACUGUGAGCGUGCGGGCGAUACGGGCAGACUGGAGUACUGCAGGGGAGACUGGAAUUCCUGGUGUAGCGGUGGAAUGCGCAGAUAUCAGGAGGAACACCGGUGGCGAAGGCGGGUCUCUGGGCAGUAACUGACGCUGAGGAGCGAAAGCGUGGGGAGCGAACAGG